rnacentral:rRNA from 1 species
AACCUGUCGUUGAGGUGGGGAUACCGCUGGGAAACCGGCGCUAAUACCGCAUGUGGUUCUGUCUGUAAGGGACAGAAAGAAAGCAGCAAUGCGCUCGAUGAGGGGCCUGCGUCCGAUUAGCUGGUUGGUGGGGUAAAGGCCUACCAAGGCGUCGAUCGGUAGCUGGUCUGAGAGGAUGGUCAGCCACACUGGGACUGAGACACGGCCCAG